UGGACAUAUCAUGUUGAAACACCAGUUCCCAUAUGAUCACUGAAGUUAAACAAUGUCAAGCCUGGUCAGUACCUAGAUGGGUGACCACUUGUGAAUAUUA